rnacentral:lncRNA from 1 species
GCUUCUCUGUCAGGGAGCUUAUAAUAUAGUUUAAAGAACCCAUUCUAAAAAGCCAUAUCUUGAGGAACAUUGUUGGGCAUGGCCAUGAUACGAAACUGGGAUAAGUGGGAGGCAGGUAUCAUAUAAGCAAGCUGGACUGAAGGAGGUUUUCUCUAUGUAUUGGAUAGAUUUAGCCCAUUAUAAGUUUGAGCAUUUCUCACCUGAAUUGAACAUAACUUCAGCAUCAAUACCACCACUGCUAUAGUUCCUGAAGAUGGAGAGAGGAGGAGAGAGAGAGAGAGAGGCAGACAAC